rnacentral:lncRNA from 1 species
CUUGCCCAAUGCUUUCGAGUAUAAUGGCUCAAAGUUUCCAUUUCCUUGUCACUAGAAUCUUCGAAACGUACUCGCUGAUUAUACCCAUUCUUUUCAUUUGUUGGCUGCUUGUAACCAAUAUCAACCUCUUCUUCAUCUCUACAUAUUCUUACAUCAAUAGCAUGACUCAUUCCAGUUUCGCUCAUUAAUUGCCUCUUUCGCUUAAUGCUGUCAAUGAUAACAUCAUGAAACUCCUUCUUUGUAAUUCCCAAGACUUCU